rnacentral:rRNA from 1 species
UGGAGAGUUUGAUCCUGGCUCAGAUUGAACGCUGGCGGCAUGCCUUACACAUGCAAGUCGAACGGCAGCGCGGGRGCAAYCCUGGYGGCGAGUGGCGAACGGGUGAGUAAUACAUCGGAACGUGUCCUGGAGUGGGGGAUAGCCCGGCGAAAGCCGGAUUAAUACCGCAUACGAUCUCDGGAUGAAAGCGGGGGACCGAAAGGCCUCGCGCUCAAGGGGCGGCCGAUGGCAGAUUAGCUAGUUGGUGGGGUAAAGGCCUACCAAGGCGACGAUCUGUAGCUGGUCUGAGAGGACGACCAGCCACACUGGGACUGAGACACGGCCCAGACUCCUACGGGAGGCAGCAGUGGGGAAUUUUGGACAAUGGGGGCAACCCUGAUCCAGCAAUGCCGCGUGUGUGAAGAAGGCCUUCGGGUUGUAAAGCACUUUUGUCCGGAAAGAAAACCUCCGUCCUAAUACGGUGGGGGGAUGACGGUACCGGAAGAAUAAGCACCGGCUAACUACGUGCCAGCAGCCGCGGUA